rnacentral:rRNA from 1 species
GCCCGCUCAGAAACUCAAAUGAAUUGACGGGGGCCCGCACAAGCGGAGGAACAUGUGGUUUAAUUCGAUGAUACGCGAGGAACCUUACCCGGGCUUGAAAUGCAUCUGACCGGCCUUGAAAGAGGCACUCCCUUCGGGGCAGAUGUGUAGGUGCUGCAUGGUUGUCGUCAGCUCGUGCCGUGAGGUGUCGGCUUAAGUGCCAUAACGAGCGCAACCCUCAUCAUUAGUUACCAUCAGGUAAGGCUGGGGACUCUAAUGAGACUGCCAUCGUAAGAUGUGAGGAAGGUGGGGAUGACGUCAAAUCAGCACGGCCCUUACGUCCGGGGCGACACACGUGUUACAAUGGGUGGUACAAAGGGCAGCUACCUGGCGACAGGAUGCUAAUCUCGAAAACCGCUCUCAGUUCGGAUCGGAGUCUGCAACUCGACUCCGUGAAGCUGGAUUCGCUAGUAAUCGCGCAUCAGCCACGGCGCGGUGAAUACGUUCCCGGGCCUU